UCCUAGCCCCGAUUGCAAUGAAAAUCCUUUUUUGAAAAAAAAGAUUGUAAUGAAAAGCGGGAAAUAGC
rnacentral:sRNA from 1 species